CGGGUUUCUAGCCUGGUGCCUGAACUAUUAGAAAGCUGACUCAUUUACUUCUAUAUGUUCUUAGCUCAACGUACCCUAUUGGCAGUGGAGUUUCCUCUGAUGUCCCUGGUUAUUCUGUAUUUGUCUCUUUCUAUCAUUAAUUGCAUCGGGAUUCCUACCUGUGCAAAUAGGAACAGAGGAAUUGCCAUUCUUGAAACAGCAGGCUAUAAAUGGAGAUGUUCUUCUGCUUUCCAAACAAGCUCUUCAUGAUGGUUGGCUGGUUGGUUGCGUUUCCCAGAAAUGGAUCCAUAUUCUUUUUCAGCCUGGAUUGGCAGCCCAGGAUGGGUGCCCUUCUUUGUUCAGCUUCUUUUGUGUUUACAGCAUAGGGAUAUGGUCGAGGUCUGGAUCUACUGCACGUUUACUCCCGUUAGAAUAGAAUCUCAACUGUUUGAACAGAGCUGGAGGCAGUUGAGGGGGGGUACAUUUGCCUAAGCAUUAUCCUUAAUUUUUCUCAUAUGGGCAUGAACAUGUGGGCAACCCAGACGACUCUGAAGCUUUUCUCUUAACAUAUUUAGAGUGGGGAAUCUGGGUGCAUUGUCAAAUGCCCAUGGACUUCCUGUGCGCCUUCUGCAUUGUGCUUGAAGCAUUAUCAGCCACUGAAAUAGAGUCAGUUCUUCUUCUGUACUAGUCCCUCCCUAAGCAGACCUUUCACCCCUCCCUUAAUUGCAGCUGGAAGGGGGAGGGAUGAAUUGUGAUCUCUUUACAAAGCUGUGCAAAAGGAAUUGCUUGAAUUGAAAGAGAGAAGAAACUAACUGGUGCUCUUUGUCAUACAAAGCGGUGUCUUGGAUGCCCAGUCAGGCUCCUGAGGGUGCCCAGUCAGGCUCCUGAGGGUGCUUUUUUGAAAGCUGUAAAGGUCUACAAGUUGCAUUCCAUAAUUGAGUCCCAGAUGUGCUGUGAACACCUUAUUUUAUUUUGCUGCUUCUUCUGUGCCUCUUACGUUCAUUGAAGGAGUAAAUAUAAUCCAGAAAGAUGUCUCAGAGCUCAGAAGUCAUUGUCCCGAUGGCAGAUUGCAAUACAAAUGGUAUCCAGAAUCAGUCCUGCAGCUCAACAAAACCCAGUACUGUCGCCUUUUGUAACAUCUGCUACAGAGUGAAGACAAAGAGUGGAUUUAUAGGCUGUCGAAAAAUAGUUGAAAAAGAAAUUUUGAAAGAUAUCAGUGGAAUAAUGACACCAGGACUGAAUGCAAUUCUGGGGCCAACAGGCAGUGGCAAAUCUUCAUUACUGGAUAUUUUAGCGGCACGGAAAGAUCCUCAUGGCUUAACUGGAGCUGUUUUCAUCAAUGGUGCCCCCCAGCCUGCCAAUUUUAAAUGCAUCUCCGGCUACGUAGUACAGGAUGAUGUUGUGAUGGGGACUUUGACGGUGAGGGAAAACUUCCAGUUCUCAGCUGCGCUCAGACUACCCAAAACAGUAAAAGCUUAUGAAAAGGAGGAGAGAAUCAACCAGAUCCUCAAGGAGCUGGGAUUGACAAAAGUGGCAGAUUCAAAGGUUGGAACUCAGUUCAUUCGUGGCAUAUCAGGAGGAGAGAGGAAAAGGACCAAUAUUGGAAUGGAGCUCAUUACUGACCCGGCCAUCUUGUUCUUAGAUGAGCCAACCACUGGUCUGGAUGCCAGCACAGCCAAUGCCGUUUUGCUGCUCUUGAAAAGGAUGUCUAAGCAAGGGAAAACCAUCAUCUUUUCCAUCCAUCAACCACGCUACUCCAUCUUCAGAGUGUUUGAUAAGCUAACCUUGCUGGCUGCAGGAAGACUUUUGUAUCAUGGACCUGCUCAGAAUGCCUUAGACUACUUCAAGACCAUCGGUUAUGAGUGUGAACCAUACAAUAACCCUGCUGACUUUUUUCUGGAUGUCAUUAACGGAGACUCGACAGCUGUGGCUUCUUCUAAUGAAACUGAGAAAGAUGGUACUCAUGAUCAGACGCUGGCAGAGAAAUUGGCAGACAAGUAUUCAAGUUCUUCUUACAACCAAGAAACCAAAGCAGAAUUGGAAAAGCUGUCUUCAAGGGGCAAAACCAAAGAGAUCACUUUCCAAAAAAUCACCUAUUCCACUUCCUUCUUUCACCAGCUGAAGUGGGUCUCCAAACGGAUGUUCAAAAAUUUAAUAGGUAACCCUCAAGCCUCCAUAGCACAGUUACUGGUUACGAUUUUUCUGGGAUUAGUCGUGGGUGCCAUAUUCUUUGGUGUAACGAAUGAUGGUAAAGGUAUACAAAAUAGAAUCGGUGCCAUGUUCUUUAUGACCACUAAUCAGUGUUUCAGCAGCAUUUCAGCAAUUGAACUCUUUGUGGUGGAGAAGAAAAUAUUUAUACAUGAAUAUAUCAGUGGAUACUAUCGAACCUCUGCAUACUUCUUCUCAAAACUAAUGGCUGAUUUAAUACCUAUGAGGACUUUACCCAGCAUAAUUUUCACCUGCAUAGUUUAUUUCAUGCUAGGACUGAAACCCACUGUGGAGGCUUUCUUUAUAAUGAUGUUUACUCUGAUGAUGGUGUCAUACACUGCAACCUCGAUGGCACUUGCUAUUGCUACAGGACACAAUGUGGUUGCUGUCGCCAAUCUCCUGAUGACUAUCAGCUUUGUUUUUAUGAUUAUUUUCUCGGGUUUGUUGGUCAAUCUCACCAGUAUCAUGUCAUGGCUAUCUUGGCUCCAGUACUUCAGCAUCCCUCGAUAUGGCUUGACAGCAUUGCAGAUUAAUGAAUUUGUUGGUCUUGACUUCUGUAAUAUCCAUACAAAUAAAAACGGGAGCCCCUCCAAUUGCACAGAAGUUAGCACAAUUCAGCCGUGCACUGGAGAACAAUACCUAGAAGGCCAAGGGAUUGAUGCAACUGGUUGGGGGUUAUGGCAGAACCAUGUGGCAUUGGCUUGCAUGACCAUCAUUUUCCUUACUAUUUCUUACUUGAAGCUACAUUUCAUGAAAAAGUUCUCUUAAGUCAAUGAAGCUGUCAAGUGUCCAAUCCAGUUUGCCCAAGCCAGCAUAAUGUAAAGAGAAGAAUGAGAAAAAAAAGACUAUUGUUCUUUCAAACUUUUCUUCUUGAUUAACCAUCUCACAAACAAGAAAAGCCUUACCCUUCAGCCAAGAUGUUUGCCUUCAUACUACCCUCAGAUAUUAUUUGGUUGCAUGUCAAAAAGUCUGAAAAUCAGUGUCAAUUAUUUCUGGCUUACAAGUAUGGAGACUUCACUUGAAUAGCAUUUAUUUUAUUUAUAUUUUAAUUUUUUUUCUUCAUAUUCCUGACAUAGCCCAUGCUGAUUCACAACAUUAAAUGACAAUAAAAUUAUAUUUAAAUGAAUGGACCCAACCACAAAUAACAAUAAAACCAUCUCAUAAAUAAAAUUAACCAUUGAUAAAGAAAUAAAUACACUUCUAGAAGGUAGUGCUACCAUUUAAAGAUUUCAGGUUAUUUUUCAAAUAGUCAGAUACAGUGGUACCUCGGUACUCAUCGUUAAUUGGUUCCGGGAGGCACAAUAAUGAUGAGUAUCAAACAAUUUUUCCCCAUAAGGAAUAAUGUAGUGAGUCACAAGGCAGAUGACACUGACAAGUUCUAGUUUGUGCAUUGAGUACCAAACAAACAAUGAUUACUGGGACAAAAUGUUCACAUCACAAUGAACUGAGUACCAAAUUCAAUGAGUUUUAAAAAGUUGUGUACCAAACCACCACUGUAUGUGUUUAAUUCUCUCCCAAGUACUAAAUGGUUAUGAAAUGUUUAAUUCCAGAUUAAUCAUAUUUCUCAAUAUAUGGGUUCGCCACCACUGAUAUAAAGCGAUGACUAAAAAUGUCUUCAUGAGUAGGUAAAGAUAAAUGUAAAAAAUGAACAUUGCUUUAAGACUGAGAUAUGUACUGAAACAGAUUCCUUUGUUACUACCUUGAAUGGAUUUUUCACAUUUGGGAAGGACAAAUUUCCUAAUUGUGCCAUUGAUGAGCUUUAUAUGAUAAUGGAAAUUUUAACUUCCUCAAUCUUCAGUUUUAUCACCAAGCAUAUGUUUUCCCUUCUAUUUUCUUUGUAGAAUUUAAAACUGAGGAAAUUAAGAUUAUAUGACUAUGUUAACUUUUUAAUACUUCGGCAAUAUCUUGGUUCUUUCUUCUGGCCAAAAUUCAGUUGUAUUUUCAACACUGAAGGCUGCUAGGCAUAUAAAGAAGUAUGAUGUUGUUUCUUAUUUCAUGAAUUUUAUAUCUUUGGGUUAAUCCUACAUUGCAAAUUCAUGUACAGUAUCUAUAUACAUAUGUAUAAAAGUUCAUAGAUAAAUAAUAUUGUACUUGAAUUCAAUUGCCAACCAAGCUUUCAAACAUCUGUUUUUUAUUAUUGCAAAAAGGAUUUGGAUUGUCUAAAACUACAGAAAAGCAAUAGAUUUGAUUAUAGCGUCUUUUGAUUUCAUAGCCCAGUCUGGACUUGUUACCAGCUCUACAACACUUGAAUUAUUAUUGUUUUUGAAAAAUAUACUUUACAGUUCCAAAUCUAUAGUUUUUUAGACAAUUAAAGUAUAUUAUUAUGAUAGACAUUGGUUAUUUGUAAAAACUCUGCAAAGAAGAGAUGGAAUAUUCUGUAUUAAAAAUCAAUAGUUAAGUGUCUUAAAUUAUUAACUAGAUUCCUUGUUAUCAUAAUAUGAUUUUUAAUGUUUAUUGGACACAUCAGAAAAGAUUUAGAAAAAAUUGGCUACCAGCUCCAUUUGGCUAGAAGUAUGAACUGACAAAAGGUUAUCCAAUCGUUGUCCUGAUUUGGUUUAAUGUUCUAAAAUUUAUUAUAAGGCAUUAGUAAUAAGCUUUAAAGAUAUUAAUGUAUAAUAUAUUGUUACAAUAAUCAACAGAUAUAAUUCUAUAUAUAAAUGUCUAAUGCAAUCAUUUAUGUAAGUGUGUGCGUAACUAUCAUGCUUUUUUAACUUAUUGUAUUUUGUAUAAAUAAAUUCCAUACAGGUAGUCCUCAAUUUACAACCAUUUGUUCAGAGUUACAACAGCACUGAAAAAAAGUGACUUAUGACUGGUUUUCAUACUUACAAGCGUUGCAGC